GGGGUCGAAUAUGGUUUCGACUGGUCUAGUUUGAUUUAAACUGCAGUGGAGUGAUGACCUAAUCAUCAACCUAAAUUAAACGCUAACACUGAAUUAGCAUUCGCUUAAUUAAACAGCCGACGUAGGCUUUAAGCACUUCGAACUGUCAAGCCUGUAGCAGUUCGUCGUAAACACAGGCUAGGUGAAGCAAGUUGCGCUCUUUCCCUUGCCAUCCGAAAACCGAAAAGGCGGAUUCAAUACCGGGUCGUUUAAGCCAUACGUAUUGUCUUAUCAAAAGUUAAACUAAACUGUAGACGUUUAAAUGUGGGAUUAUUCCAGGACGAGGGUUCGAGUCCCUCCGACUCCACCA
rnacentral:tmRNA from 1 species